UGGUGGAGUGAUUUGUCUGGUUAAUUCCGUUAACGAACGAGACCUCGACCUACUAAAUAGUUGACUAAACUCUUCGGGGUUGGAUUGACUUCUUAGAGGGACUUUUGGUGAGUAGCCAAAGGAAGUUCGAGGCAAUAACA
rnacentral:rRNA from 1 species